rnacentral:lncRNA from 1 species
CGGCUCGGCAACAGGGGCUGCUCGCAGGCAGCCCGGCGGAUGGGGCAGCGGCACCGCCCGGGCGUUAUAUAGUGCUGAAGGCACGCCGCGCCCGGAGCCCAUUGGACUCGGAGCAGCCGGGGGCCGGCCGGGGGUUGCUGCCACCGCCCUACACAGCAGAGCUCAGCCCACCCGGCAGCCCUAAAGCAGCACCAAAAGGACUGGGGUUCGGCCGGCUGGGGGCUGCCUGCCCCGAGGAGGGGUGUGGGGACGAGAGGAUAAAGGGUUGGGAGGCGGUCGUGGCGCUUUGUGGGGCUUUCGGUGGGGUUUUGCGAAACGGCUUAGCAAAAUGGCUCUUUUUCUUCUUUUCUUUUCAGAGGGGAAAACUUUUCUUUCUUUAGAGCGACGCUGUAAGCUGAUACGCCUCGGUUCAGGAGGAAUAAUGUUCUGCACGGGGGGAGAAGCAUUGUGCUUUGCUGUGGAUGAAUUUAAUGCCAGCAAGUGGCCUGCUGCAGCUCUGCGACCAGGUGGAGGGACCAGCAUCGACGUGUACAGCAGUUCGUACUGGUCGACUGGUCUGACACAGUGA